UACGGAGGGGGGCUAGCGUUGUUCGGAAUUACUGGGCGUAAAGCGCACGUAGGCGGACCAGCAAGUUAAGGGUGAAAUCCCGGGGCUCAACCCCGGAACUGCCUUUAAAACUGUUGGUCUGGAGGUCGAGAGAGGUGAGUGGAAUUCCGAGUGUAGAGGUGAAAUUCGUAGAUAUUCGGAGGAACACCAGUGGCGAAGGCGGCUCACUGGCUCGAUACUGACGCUGAGGUGCGAAAGCGUGGGGAGCAAACAGG
rnacentral:rRNA from 1 species